AACCUGCAGUGGCUUCUUUAUGCACCACAUCUCUGCACAAAUGAGCCCAGACUUGGUCCUUCUUGGGCAAACCUGGAGGACCUGAGUGGGUCUAAACCUUGGGCUGAGUUGUACAGCAUGUCUGUUGUAAGGAGGAGUUUCAAACUUGGCUGUAAAAAUUUGCUCCAGGAUAAAAUCUUGGCACCCAAAGUCCCAGCCCAGCACCACAGCCUUUCUUCUGUAGAUCUGACUUUUGGAGGCCAUAUGUAUAAGCACAUCAUCAUGACCAUUCAUUGAAAGGAAAAUGAAGCAAUAGCAAGAAAACAAUAUCACUAGGAAGAAAUGUAGUUAAUUCCAGUAAGGUAAGUAAACAAGCAAGAAUAUUAAUAUCAGUAAA